GAUGAACGCUGGCGGCGUGCCUAAUACAUGUAAGUCGAACGGAGUAUGUAGCAAUAUAUACUUAGUGGCGAACGGGUGAGUAACGCGUUGGUGACCUGCCCCGAAGCGUGGGAUAACAGCUCGAAAGGGCUGCUAAUACCGCAUGAGAUCUUCCAGGUUAGAGACUGGGAGAUGAAAGGAGUGCGUUCGCAAGAACGCCCCACUUUGGGAGGGGCCUGCGUCCCAUCAGCUAGUUGGUAAGGUAAAGGCUUACCAAGGCGAAGACGGGUAGGGGGCCUGAGGGGGUGACCCCCCACACUGGCACUGAAACACGGGCCAGACACCUACGGGUGGCAGCAGUAGGGAAUAUUGCACAAUGGGCGAAAGCCUGAUGCAGCAACGCCGCGUGCGCGAAGAAGGUCUUCGGAUCGUAAAGCGCUUUUUGGGGAGAUGAGGAAGGACAGUAUCCCCAGAAUAAGGCUCGGCUAACUACGUGCCAGCAGCCGCGGUAACAC
rnacentral:rRNA from 1 species